GGGCUUGUAGCUUAGCCUGGUUGGAGCGCUCGGCUGAUAACCGAGAGGUCGAGAGUUCAAAUCUCUCCAGGCCCA
rnacentral:tRNA from 1 species